AGCGGUUGGAGCAUGUGGUUUAAUUCGAAGCAACGCGAAGAACCUUACCAAGUCUUGACAUCCCGAUGACAGAGUAUGUAAUGUACUUUCUCUUCGGAGCAUCGGUGACAGGUGGUGCAUGGUUGUCGUCAGCUCGUGUCGUGAGAUGUUGGGUUAAGUCCCGCAACGAGCGCAACCCCUGUUCUUAGUAGCCAGCGGUUCGGCCGGGCACUCUAGGGAGACUGCCAGGGAUAACCUGGA
rnacentral:rRNA from 1 species